rnacentral:rRNA from 1 species
UACAGAGGUCUCAAGCGUUGUUCGGAUUCAUUGGGCGUAAAGGGUGCGUAGGUGGCAUGUUAAGUCGGAUGUGAAAUCCCGGGGCUCAACCCCGGAACUGCAUUCGAUACUGCGGCGCUAGAGUACUGGAGAGGAGAUUGGAAUUUACGGUGUAGCAGUGAAAUGCGUAGAUAUCGUAAGGAAGACCAGUGGCGAAGGCAGCUCGCUGGGCCGGUACUGACGCUGAGGCGCGAAAGCGUGGGGAGCAAACAGG